rnacentral:rRNA from 2 species
UUGACCUCGGAUCAGGUAGGGAUACCCGCUGAACUUAAGCAUAUCAAUAAGCGGAGGAAAAGAAACCAACUGGGAUUGCCUUAGUAACGGCGAGUGAAGCGGCAAUAGCUCAAAUUUGAAAGCUGGCGCCUUCGGCGUCCGCGUUGUAAUUUGUAGAGGAUGCUUCGGCGAGGACUCCUGCCUAAGUUCCCUGGAAUGGGACGUCACAGAGGGUGAGAAUCCCGUAUGUGGCGGGCGGUCCAAGCCAUGUGAAGCUCCUUCGACGAGUCGAGUUGUUUGGGAAUGCAGCUCUAAAUGGGAGGUAAAUUUCUUCUAAAGCUAAAUACCGGCCAGAGACCGAUAGCGCACAAGUAGAGUGAUCGAAAGAUGAAAAGCACUUUGGAAAGAGAGUUAAAAAGUACGUGAAAUUGUUGAAAGGGAAGCGCUUGCAACCAGACUCGCUCGCAGUUGCUCAGCCCGCCUCUUGGUGGGUGUACUCUUCUGCGAUCGGGCCAGCAUCAGUUCGGGCGGCUGGAUAAAGGUGUCGGGAAUGUAGCACCCUUCGGGGUGUGUUAUAGCCCGGCGCGGAAUGCAGCCAGCCUGGACUGAGGAUCUCGCUUCGGC